UCGGACCACAGCUGAAGGGUGAAGAC
rnacentral:piRNA from 1 species